rnacentral:rRNA from 1 species
AGCAGUAGCCACGGUAAUACGAAGGGUGCAAGCGUUAAUCGGAAUUACUGGGCGUAAAGCGUGCGUAGGCGGUGAGUUAAGUCUGCUGUGAAAUCCCCGGGCUCAACCUGGGAAUGGCAGUGGAUACUGGCUCGCUAGAGUGUGUCAGAGGAUGGUGGAAUUCCCGGUGUAGCGGUGAAAUGCGUAGAGAUCGGGAGGAACAUCAGUGGCGAAGGCGGCCAUCUGGGACAACACUGACGCUGAGGCACGAAAGCGUGGGGAGCAAACAGGAUUAGAUACCCCAGUAGUCCCUGUCUCUUAUAA